UACAGAGGGUGCGAGCGUUAAUCGGAAUUACUGGGCGUAAAGCGAGUGUAGGUGGCUUAUUAAGUCACAUGUGAAAUCCCUGGGCUUAACCUAGGAACUGCAUGUGAUACUGGUGAGCUAGAGUAUGUGAGGGGAAAGUAGAAUUCCAGGUGUAGCGGUGAAAUGCGUAGAGAUCUGGAGGAAUACCGAUGGCGAAGGCAGCCAUCUGGCCUAAUACUGACACUGAGGUGCGAAAGCAUGGGGAGCAAACAGG
rnacentral:rRNA from 1 species